rnacentral:rRNA from 1 species
AAUCCAUAGGUUAAUGAGGCGAACCGGGGGAACUGAAACAUCUAAGUACCCCGAGGAAAAGAAAUCAACCGAGAUUCCCCCAGUAGCGGCGAGCGAACGGGGAGGAGCCCAGAGCCUGAAUCAGCAUGUGUGUUAGUGGAAGCGUCUGGAAAGGCGCGCGAUACAGGGUGACAGCCCCGUACACAAAAGCGCAUGUGCUGUGAGCUCGAUGAGUAGGGCGGGACACGUGGUAUCCUGUCUGAAUAUGGGGGGACCAUCCUCCAAGGCUAAAUACUCCUGACUGACCGAUAGUGAACCAGUACCGUGAGGGAAAGGCGAAAAGAACCCCGGCGAGGGGAGUGAAAAAGAACCUGAAACCGUGUACGUACAAGCAGUGGGAGCACCCUUUGGGUGUGACUGCGUACCUUUUGUAUAAUGGGUCAGCGACUUAUAUUCUGUAGCAAGGUUAACCGAAUAGGGGAGCCGGAGGGAAACCGAGUCUUAAUUGGGCGUUAAGUUGCAGGGUAUAGACCCGAAACCCGGUGAUCUAGCCAUGGGCAGGUUGAAGGUUGGGUAACACUAACUGGAGGACCGAACCGACUAAUGUUGAAAAAUUAGCGGAUGACCUGUGGCUGGGGGUGAAAGGCCAAUCAAACCGGGAGAUAGCUGGUUCUCCCCGAAAGCUAUUUAGGUAGCGCCUCGUGAAUUCAUCUCCGGGGGUAGAGCACUGUUUCG